GAUUUCUGGUACAAUGCACCUGGCCCGCGGCCCUCAAGGCUUGUGAGUGCCGGCGCGCGUUUACCAUCACUUCAGUUAUAGAAACCAACAAAAUAGAACCGAAGUCCUAGAUUAUUAUUCCAUGCUAAUGUAUUCAUAGCAAAAGCCUGCUUUAAACACUCUAAUUUUUUCAAAGUAAAAGAUCUAGAUCGCGAUCCCAACCAAGUGAAUGGCAGAAUCGUUUUCUAGAAGAAUGAUUGAUAGGGAUAGUUGGGGGUGCUAGUAUUGGCCGGCCAGAGGUGAAAUUCUUGGAUUCGGUCAAGACUAACUUAUGCGAAAGCAUU
rnacentral:rRNA from 1 species